AGCGGGGGUAGCAAUACCCUAGCGGCGAACGGGUGAGGAAUGCUUGGGAAUCUGCCUGGUAGUGGGGGAUAACGUUCCGAAAGGAACGCUAAUACCGCAUACGUCCUACGGGAGAAAGGGGGGGAUCUUCGGACCUCUCGCUAUCAGAUGAGCCCAAGCGGGAUUAGCUAGUUGGUGAGGUAAAGGCUCACCAAGGCGACGAUCCCUAGCUGGUCUGAGAGGAUGAUCAGCCACACUGGAACUGAGACACGGUCCAGACUCCUACGGGAGGCAGCAGUGGGGAAUAUUGGACAAUGGGCGAAAGCCUGAUCCAGCCAUGCCGCGUGUGUGAAGAAGGCCUUCGGGUUGUAAAGCACUUUAAGCGGGGAGGAAGGUUCGUUACUUAAUACGUAACGGAAUUGACGUUGCCCGCAGAAUAAGCACCGGCUAACUCUGUGCCAGCAGCCGCGGUAAUACAGAGGGUGCAAGCGUUAAUCGGAAUUACUGGGCGUAAAGCGCGCGUAGGCGGUUGUGUAAGUUGGAUGUGAAAUCCCCGGGCUUAACCUGGGCACUGCAUUCAAAACUGCACGGCUAGAGUAUGGGAGAGGAAGGUAGAAUUCCAGGUGUAGCGGUGAAAUGCGUAGAGAUCUGGAGGAAUACCGAUGGCGAAGGCAGCCUUCUGGCCUAAUACUGACGCUGAGGUGCGAAAGCAUGGGGAGCAAACAGGAUUAGAUACCCUGGUAGUCCAUGCCGUAAACGAUGUCGACUA
rnacentral:rRNA from 1 species